rnacentral:rRNA from 1 species
CGGGUGCGUAACACGUAAAGAACCUGCCCUGUAGCGGGGGAUAGCCCUGGGAAACUGGGGGUAAUACCGCAUAAGUCCUUAUUUUCGCAUGAGGAAAAGGGGAAAGGGAAUAGAUGAUAAUCUAUUUUCACUACAGGAGGGCUUUGCGGCCUAUCAGGUAGUUGGAAGGGUAACGGCCUACCAAGCCUAAGACGGGUAGCUGGUCUGAGAGGAUGGUCAGCCACACUGGGACUGAGAUACGGCCCAG